rnacentral:rRNA from 1 species
GACGAACGCUGGCGGCGUGCUUAACACAUGCAAGUCGAACGGAAAGGCCCUGCUUUUGUGGGGUGCUCGAGUGGCGAACGCGUGUGUAACACGUGAGUAACCUGCCCUUGACUUUGGGAUAACUUCAGGAAACUGGGGCUAAUACCGGAUAGGAUCUCCUGCUGCAUGGUGGUGGUUGGAAAGUUUCGGCGGUUGGGGAUGGACUCGCGGCUUAUCAGCUUGUUGGUGGGGUAGUGGCUUACCAAGGCUUUGACGGGUAGCCGGCCUGAGAGGGUGACCGGGCACAAUGGGCCUGAGAGACGGAGCAGAAUCCUACGGGAGGCAGCAGUGGGAAAUAUUGCAGAAUGGGGGGAAGCGUGAUGCAGCAACGCCGCGUGCGGGAUGACGGCCUUCGGGUUGUAAACAGCUUUCGCAUGUGACGAAGCGUGAGUGACGGUAAUGGGUAAAGAAGCAACGGCUAACUACGUG